rnacentral:lncRNA from 1 species
GAUAGCUUAAUGGAAGGAGCAUUCGAAAGAGGGUCAGUUACCUUCAAAGAAAGUGUACUCUGUCCUCAAGUUGGGAGAGAUCAUGUGUGAGGUAAGUGUUUCAGAAGGUUCCUUAGGGUAAUCACAUUAUACAGGGCUCUGUGCGGUGGACACAGAAUUGUAGGGGAUUGGGAGGAUGCUAUGAGAACUACCAAGGUGAUUGGUGAAAUGUCGGUCAGGCUCCAGACACCUCUGCUGCACCCACUAGGCAGGACUGGGGUAAAAUGCCCAGGUCCUUUGGGCAGAGGAAUUUCAGAAACAAUGUGAGGAAAGAUUUGGAGUUCCCAACACCUCCAUGCCAGUCCCCAUGUAAGCAAGCAGGACUUUCCCACCCAACAAUAAACGCCUCUCUCCCCUGCCCAAUAAAUAUCACUGAUGUGUUUGUGUCUUGUUACGCCACUGGGGCAGAGUAGUAAGCCCCCUGUUAAAGUCAACAAAAGCAAAAAUCAUCCCACAGCUUUUAUCAAAUACUAAAACAAUUUUCACUGUGGAAAAUUUCUUCUUAAUAGGGAAAUGGAAAAUUACAGAUAUAGAAUCAUCCAAUCUUAGAGCUGGAAGGAACCUUGGAGGUCAUCAGCUGAACCUCAAGCCCACUGCUGGAAUUCUUAUUACAACAUCCCUGCUGUCCUCUGCUUGAACGGUCCUAAGCCCGGGCCCUUUCUCAGCACCUCUAAGGAAGUUUUCCACCCAUUGUUGGGUGGUUGUUAGACAGUCAUUCUUAUGUUGAACCAAAAUAGUCCUUCUGGAAACUUCACCCUUCAGGCAGAGUUUGAAUAAGUCUAUUUCCUCUCCUCUGUGAGAGCUCUUUGAGUAUUUUAAGGCUGUAAGCCUCAUCCCCUCUGAGUCUUUUGUCCCCAGACCAAGCAUUCCCACUGCCUCCAAAUAUAUAAUGAUCCAUUCUAAAACCUGGCGAAGGACAGGCAUCAAGUCACUGGUGUGUGGUCUUCCUAAUCCUUCUUUCCCUCGUCUUGAAAACCAGAUCCACAGCAGAGAUUGGAGCAGCCUACCCGCUCUCAGGGAUUGCCCCAAGGUACAGAUGAUGCUUCUGUGAAACCUUUGCAAGUUCAGCGGUUGAGGGAUGCAAGCCGUAAACUAACGGAUGAGAGAUGAGACCCACCCAUCGGAGCCAGGCUUUGAAGGAACUGACCGCAGUGUGCAUGAGGAAGUACUUCACGGUGAUGACCCUCGCCACCCUCUCAGGAAAACACAGUGACCUCUCCCCCAACAUCCCCUUCCCACUCCCAGGUCCCCCGGCAAAGGCAGAAGAACCAAGCAAGCCUUUCCACCAAAGCAGCCAUGAACCCCAUUCUCAUCCUUUCCAAGAACUCUCUGCUAUACCAGAUAGGGGUUUGGGGUUCUGUUUUCCAUUUUUUAAAAAAAUCAUUUCAAGACUCUUGAACAGUGUGUCGGUUUACACUAUUCUAUCUUCUUAAGCCACCAUAUCAACAUAUUCACUCUGCUUCCUUUCUUUUCAUUUGGCAGAUGCCACACUUUUAAUGGCAGCAAUAAAAGGUGUUUCUAUCAAUGCCAGGUGGGCAGCCCUGACCAUCUAAAGCCUCGGAGAGGGUUAUACCAAGUCUCCUGUACACCUCCGUGCUAGUGACAACAUGUGGGGACCUCUCAUCCCAAAGUUUUGGGACAAAGUCUCCCGUCCCUUAUCAUUUGUUUUCACUGAGGCUAAAUGUAUCUGUUCAGUACAUGGAUAGAUUUUUAAGCUCCUCUCACAAAGUCUUGUGCUUGAGACAAAAUCAGCCCAGGUUCUGCACUUUGUCUAUAUUUCAGCAGCUCUCCUGCUUGAUAUUAAAAAUAGCCUUGUCUAGUCCAUCGAGAUCAGACCCAGGAGACAGGCGCCUGCUAUUCUAAUCUCUGCUUCACAAAUAGCUCUCUAUGGGCUCAAGCAUCUAUCAACACUUCCAGGGGUCUCCAGUUAUAAAACAGGGCCAGGCCUAGUCACCUAUAAAGGUAGGCUCUGCUUAACUCCCCUGAGCUGUCCAUGAGGUUAGCAUGAGGCCUACAACAAUCACAUUUCUACCAUGGACCAGAGACUUCCAAUGGUGACUCAAAACUGAGAAGCAGUUAAGAGCAUCCCCCACACUCAGGGUAUCCUGCAUUUCCCAGGCCAGAACCUACAAAAGGUUCCCUUGAGACUCAAACUCAAGCAGCACUGGUAAACAGGCUGCCCCUCCCCGCUUCUUCCCUCCUCCUGCAAACCACCCCCCAUCCCUCACUUUCACCUCCCUUCCUCCCCAAGCCCAUCUUGUACUCUGUGAAAAACUGUAGUCCCCUCAGUUGCCAAGGGAACCAAGCCUUUUAUUCCAUCCGUGACUAGCUGGUUGGGCUGAGGAGUGGGGCAACAACUGGUACCCAGGCCUUUGGAAGCCCAAGCCCUCCCUUUUUCCCAAAGGGGGAGGGGUGGGCUGCACCCCCCGUUGCCUUUUCACCCAAACCCAGCUGGGUGGGACCGAGCCCUUGGGCUCUCAGGAGCUCCCUGGCUGUGGGCUGGGGAGAUCAGUGCUCCCCAGGCCCUCCUCUGGCCCUGGCCCUUUCCAGAGGACAAUAGCCUUCAUGCAAGGGAAAAUUCCAUCGCCCAGGGUUCAAGUCUCCAAGGAGUUGCUGGGGCCUCUAUUUAGCCUGGAGUGGGCUCUGAGGAGCCGCUGCAGCUGCCCGGCUUGUUUUCCCCCUCGCUGUGUUUUAUUUUUAACCCCUGAGCUGCCAAGGAUUGUUUUUCCCCAACCAGUGCCUGGGAACUAAGGGAGGGAAGAAAUAAGGCUUUGUUCCCUUUGGGGAACUAAUUGGGAAAGACAGGCAGUGUGGCCAGCUUGGCUCUAUUAGGGUGUGGGGCUCCCACCCCUCACUGCACAACAUCUUCACCCCAAUCCAUACCCAGGAGGCUGGGAGUGCAGAAGUGCCCCCCAGGAUGCAACCAGAGGCCCGGGGGCUGGUGGGAACGCAAGUGCAGCUUCAAGACUGCAAAGGCAGCUCAGAGCCACUUUCUUGGGCUCCGAAGAUAUUCAGGAAAUAAGAUGUUGGGAGCUGGAAAUGUCUAUUUUUCCCAUUUCAACCCCCCCCAAACUAACCCCUGCUUUUCUCCUGCUGGUGGUGGUGGUUGUUGUUUUCCAGACCUGCAUAAUGAACUCUAGAAGAAAAGUGAGGGAACUCAAAAAAGUAAGAAACCAGAAAAUAAAGACAUUAUACUUUUAAACACUAGGCUAAUCAAUGGGAAACACCCAGCAACCCCACUUAUAAGUUUACUCCGUAAAAAAUAUUCCUUAUACUCAGAAAUUUAAUUUCAUUGCAAAUCAGCUAGGAAUUAAUGAAAAAUUUCUUCCACGGCCAUUUUAUUUUAAGAUCAAAUGGAUUCCAGAUAGGGACCCAUUAAGAAUCUAAGGACCAUUUUGAUCCCGUCUAGGAACAGAGCAAAUUUCUAAGGAAUCACCCACUUGCAGCAAGCCAGCACAUUCAAGUUAGGGCUGUGGCAUAUGACACCCAGUGCGUUCAAGUAAAGACUGCUCGUCUAUUUACCAAGAAUAUUUGAGAAAAGAAAAUGCCCCUGCCUGGUGGACAAUAGCACAAAGCAUUUCUCUGUACCUGGGCACAUUUGUUCCACUCGAUAAAAGAGGACCCCUGACCCAGGUACACAGGCAGUUGGAGAAGAGGACAACGAUGAACUGAUACAAAGAUGAGAAAACUGAAACAAGGUCACAAACCAGAUGAUCUAAAGGGUAGCCACUACUGCCUCCUAAAGAACCCCAAUCAGGAAUCCCAGAUUAAUUUGCCCAGCAUCCUGUUUGGAAACCACAUGUCCACCCUGCAACUGUACCUGGCUUGUGUCCCACAAGGAGGAAGAUGCAGGGGACUCCGGAAGCUAAGGAGGAGAUUGUGAACUCAGGCACCAAAUCCAACAAGCUCCCCGAGGAACUUACAACAGUCUGUUUUACAGAGAAGUAAAUGUUGCUGAGAGAGAAAAUUGUCAGGCCUCGGUGUUCCAGAGCAAGAGGCAUUCCUUCAUUCCCAGAGAGGCCCUGGGCCUCAGCAAGCAAGCCCGACAAGCCCUCCGCAGCCAGAAUCCAAGCUUCAGGCUGCACCUCCCUCACCGCUGGGCCCUGGACAGUGAGGCUGCUGCUCAGAACCCCUCUCCUCAGAGGGAAAUUCCUCAGGGCUGCCCCACCCGACCCGUUCUAUCAGUCACUCAAGCCCUCUAUCCUCUGUCACAGCCUGGCUCUGUCCCUUCCCAUGCCCCAACCCCCAACCUCCCAGGACCCAGUAUCUCAGGAUUUCUGCCCUCCUCCAGCCCCGAGCAGCCUGGAAGCCAAGUGGCAAGGAUGUAGUCAGCCGGGUGGGCCCUGAGAGCCGGUGGAAUGGUGUCCAUGUUGCAGGAAA